AGAGUUUGAUCAUGGCUCAGGAUGAACGCUGGCGGCGUGCUUAACACAUGCAAGUCGAGCGGAGCUCAAAUGCGGAUCCCCUUCGGGGGUGAAACAUCUGAGCUUAGCGGCGGACGGGUGCGUAACGCGUGGGUAAUCUGCCCUUGUCACCGGGAUAACACAUCGAAAGGUGUGCUAAUACCGGAUGAAAUACAGACCCGGCAUCGGGGCCGUAUCAAAGUCAUGCGGACAAGGAUGAGCCUGCGUCUGAUUAGCUUGUUGGUGGGGUAAAAGCCUACCAAGGCGACGAUCAGUAGCCGACCUGAGAGGGUGAUCGGCCACACUGGAACUGAGACACGGUCCAGACUCCUACGGGAGGCAGCAGUGGGGAAUAUUGCACAAUGGGCGCAAGCCUGAUGCAGCAACGCCGCGUGAGUGAUGAAGGCCUUCGGGUCGUAAAACUCUGUCCUAAGGGAAGAUAAUGACGGUACCUUAGGAGGAAGCCCCGGCUAACUACGUGCCAGCAGCCGCGGUAAUACGUAGGGGGCAAGCGUUAUCCGGAAUUACUGGGCGUAAAGGGUGCGUAGGUGGCCUGACAAGUCAGGGGUCAAAGGCAACGGCUCAACCGUUGUAAGCCCUUGAAACUGUCGGGCUUGAGUUCAGGAGAGGAAAGCGGAAUUCCUAGUGUAGCGGUGAAAUGCGUAGAUAUUAGGAGGAACACCAGUGGCGAAGGCGGCUUUCUGGACUGAUACUGACACUGAGGCACGAAAGCGUGGGGAGCAAACAGGAUUAGAUACCCCGGUAGU
rnacentral:rRNA from 1 species